UACGGAGGAUGCGAGCAUUAUCCGGAUUUAUUGGGUUUAAAGGGUGCGCAGGCGGCACGGCAAGCCGGCGGUCAAAUCGCGGGGCUCAACCCCGCCCAGCCGUCGGAACUGCCGGGCUAGAGUGGGCGAGAAGUGCGCGGAAUGCGUGGUGUAGCGGUGAAAUGCAUAGAUAUCACGCAGAACUCCGAUUGCGAAGGCAGCGCACCGGCGCCCUACUGACGCUCAGGCACGAAAGCGUGGGUAUCGAACAGG
rnacentral:rRNA from 1 species